GCAUUGUGGAGGAAUUUCAGGAGCUCCAUUGCAGUGGAAUGAAGCAAGUGCUUAAAAAAGUGGAGGAGAAGCUGGCAGGUCUAAACAUUACCAAUGAUGAAAUACAGAAAAUAGUUAAGGACCUUGAAAAAGAGUCCAUCGUCAUUUUGGCAGAUCCAGCUGCAACAAAGCAAUUCAUUGAGAAAGACAUUCGUCUGCCACCCACUCCUAGACUGAUUACGCUUGGGAACACAUUUCUCUCUGCAAAAAAAGUGGAUGGUGAUUCUUUGAGGAUCACCUGGAUUUUGCAAAUGCCUUGUAAAUCUUCUUAGUAACCUUCUAUGUUUUCAACAUAGAAUAUCAAGAGCCAGCUUGUGCUACAUUGGAACUAAUUCAAAGUGGGUGUUGUGAAGGAAGAACCCACUCGCAAGAUGUCUGCCAGUCCAGAGCCCUCUCACAAGAUGGCCACCAGUCCAGAGCCCGCUCGCAAGAUGGUGUGUUCAAGGUACAGAUGUUUGAUAUCAAGCCUGGCAGACACCCAUCUGAUGUCUACUUGGAGGGUAGAUGUCCCCAGCAUCCAGAGUAUGGCGGUGCCUGUUGUGGAUGAUCCUGAGACUCCUGCUUUAGAAUCUGUUCUGCUGGUGGUGGUUGCUGCAUUGGUGUGUGUCUGGGCUGUGCAUGUCAUAGGUCGGGGGUGUGCCAACGCAGAGCCAGACAACCAACACCCCCCGAACUACCACACCAC